AUUAAGAUGCUGAAAUGUUAACUUGAGGGCAAUAAGAAAACUGUUGAGGAAUUUGCAGCAGGAAUGAAACGCUGAUAUUUUAGGAAAAUUAUAGUGAUGGCCACUGGAGGAUGGAUUAGAGAGGAUGAGUCUGCUGGCUGGAAGACCAAUUGGAAGACUACUGCAGCCAUAGAGUUGAUAGCAAACAGAAGACACAAAGUGCACAUAUUGCCCUGGCUUCUGAUUUCAUGACAAAUUGGCAUGGUAAUACUUAAUACUUAACAGUUGCAGAAAAAUAGAAAGAUCUAAAUGGGGGAAUUAGAAAAUAUGGAGCUCUUAAAUAACGGACUUGGAUUUGAGAAUUAUUACAAGCCAUUAAUCAUUAUAGGUCUCCCCGGAAAUGAAUGAAUGAGAAUUUAUCAUUGCUCUUAUUAGGUCCGUGCCUCCAAAACUUCUUCAGGAGGAUUUUCUGAAGCUCCAGUGGCUGCUGUUGUUUGAGUUUGGUUUGGAGCAAAACUGAGGUAGUCCUAACAUUUCUGGGACUGAAUCCAGGCAAGAGAAAGAAGAAAAAGAGGAGGAAAAAGGUAGGGAGAAAUAAAGGGAGGAGAGAAGCAUAGGGAAAGAAAAAAAAAGUCCCUUUUCGACAUCACAUUCCUGUGUUUUCCCUCAGCCUGGAAAACAUAUUAAUCCCAGUGCUUUUACGCCCGGAAACAAAGAGACUAAGCCAGACUGUGGGGGAAAG
rnacentral:sRNA from 1 species